GGGCUGGAACCUCUCGGGGUUACAGCCUUGCUGAAUUAUUCACCCUUGUCUUUUGCGUACUUCUUGUUUCCUUGGUGGGUUCGCCCACCACUAGGACAAACAUAAACCUUUUGUAAUUGCAAUCAGCGUCAGUAACAAAUUAAUAAUUACAACUUUCAACAACGGAUCUCUUGGUUCUGGCAUCGAUGAAGAACGCAGCGAAAUGCGAUAAGUAGUGUGAAUUGCAGAAUUCAGUGAAUCAUCGAAUCUUUGAACGCACAUUGCGCCCUUUGGUAUUCCAAAGGGCAUGCCUGUUCGAGCGUCAUUUGUACCCUCAAGCUUUGCUUGGUGUUGGGCGUCUUGUCUCUAGCUUUGCUGGAGACUCGCCUUAAAGUAAUUGGCAGCCGGCCUACUGGUUUCGGAGCGCAGCACAAGUCGCACUCUCUAUCAGCAAAGGUCUAGCAUCCAUUAAGCCUUUUUUUCAACUUUUGACCUCGGAUCAGGUAGGGAUACCCGCUGAACUUAAGCAUAUCAAUAAGCGGAGGAA
rnacentral:rRNA from 1 species